AGCUCCGCAAAAGUAUAUCGAUAUUGCUGUGGUUAAAAAGCUCGUAGUUGGAUCUGCGUGCCUAGCACCCGGUGCGGCCUUUGGCCGUUACUGGGCUGCGGCACAUGACUGCCGGAUGGCCGCGGAUGCUCUUAACCGGGUGUCCGCGGUGUCUGGCGAGUUUACUUUGAACAAACUAGAGUGCUCAACACAGGCGUUUCGCUUGAAUAUUUCUGCAUGGAAUAAUAGAAUAGGACCUCGGUUCUAUUUUGUUGGUUUUCGGAAUUGAGGUAAUGAUUAAGAGGGACUGACGGGGGCAUUCGUACUGCGACGUGAGAGGUGAAAUUCUUGGAUCGUCGCAAGACGCACUACUGCGAAGGCAUUUGCCAAGAAUGUUUUCA
rnacentral:rRNA from 1 species